rnacentral:lncRNA from 1 species
CAAUUCUUCGAGUAGCUAUAUAGUCACUCACUGAACUAUGAAAAAGAGGUUCAAGACAAUCAUAUCAAAACAGAUAAAUUGUAAUAUUGUGGCUAAUUAAAAAAUAAAGUGGGGAAACAUAUAUUGUUUUGGCAAAAGGGGUGGCGAAAAAAAUAAUUGACCCAGGGGAAACUUUGGGGCUAAAGAUACCAGAUGAACAGCAAACUCAUAAAUGGAAAAUAAACUUACAAUUCCAUGACAAAAACUGAAAAAGACAUGCAUACAAAUAAAAGUACACUAGAAACAACAUAGAAAACUAAA